AGAGUUUGAUCCUGGCUCAGGAUGAACGCUAGCGGCAGGCCUAAUACAUGCAAGUCGAACGGUGAUAGCAAUAUCAUAGUGGCGCACGGGUGCGUAACACGUAUGCAACCUACCUAUUAUUGGGGGAUAGCCUUUGGAAACGGAGAUUAAUACCGCAUAAUACGAUUGACUGGCAUCGGUUGAUUGUUAAAGCUUCGGCGAUAAUAGAUGGGCAUGCGUCCAAUUAGUUAGUUGGUUAGGUAACGGCUGACCAAGACGAUGAUUGGUAGGGGAUCUGAGAGGAUAAUCCCCCACACUGGCACUGAGAUACGGGCCAGACUCCUACGGGAGGCAGCAGUAGGGAAUAUUGGGCAAUGGGCGGAAGCCUGACCCAGCCAUGCCGCGUGCAGGAAGAAGGCGUUAUGCGUUGUAAACUGCUUUUUUAUAGGAAGAAGGAUCCCUUGCGAGGGAAGGUGACGGUACUAUAAGAAUAAGCACCGGCUAACUCCGUGCCAGCAGCCGCGGUAAUACGGAGGGUGCAAGCGUUGUCCGGAUUUAUUGGGUUUAAAGGGUGCGUAGGCGGUUUAUUAAGUCAGUGGUGAAAGACGGUCGCUCAACGAUUGCAGUGCCAUUGAUACUGGUAGACUUGAGUGAGAUUGAGGUAGCUGGAAUGGAUAGUGUAGCGGUGAAAUGCAU
rnacentral:rRNA from 1 species